rnacentral:rRNA from 1 species
UACGUAGGGUGCAAGCGUUGUCCGGAAUUAUUGGGCGUAAAGAGCUCGUAGGCGGUUUGUCGCGUCUGCUGUGAAAACUGGAGGCUCAACCUCCAGCCUGCAGUGGGUACGGGCAAACUAGAGUGCGGUAGGGGGAGAUUGGAAUUCCUGGUGUAGCGGUGGAAUGCGCAGAUAUCAGGAGGAACACCGAUGGCGAAGGGCAGAUCUCUGGGCCGGUAACUGACGCUGAGGAGCGAAAGCAUGGGGGAGCGAACAGG